ensembl:snRNA
GUGUUGUAUGAAAGUCAGCUCUCCCCUUGACAAGGGUGGAAGAGGCCCUAGGGCCUGACAACAUGCAUACAGUUAAGGCAUUGCCACCUACUUCGUGGCAUCUAACCAUCGUUUUUU